CAAACUAUCACGUCACAAACGUGUGUGCAGAUUUCCAUCAUUACUUUAAGUUCCUUGUACAUUAAUGGGCUACCAAAUUAAACGAGAUUAAAAGAAAUCAUUUUAUUUUAUUUAUUUUUGAUAAAUUUAAAUACCAUAUGUCGAUUCAUAUGUGCCACUUGUCCCAAUAUUUUAGAGAGAAACAUAAAUGUUUUCUCUCUUUGUGUUUA
rnacentral:lncRNA from 1 species